UACAGAGGUCCCGAGCGUUGUUCGGAUUCAUUGGGCGUAAAGGGUGCGUAGGCGGCGGGUUAGUCUGAUGUUAAAUCCUGGGGCUCAACCCUGGAACUGCAUUGGAUACUUCCUUGCUAGAGUACUGGAGAGGAAACUGGAAUUUACGGUGUAGCAGUGAAAUGCGUAGAGAUCGUAAGGAAGACCAGUGGCGAAGGCGAGUUUCUGGACAGUAACUGACGCUGAGGCACGAAGGCCAGGGGAGCAAACGGG
rnacentral:rRNA from 1 species